UACAGAGACCUCAAGCGUUAUCCGGAAUCAUUGGGCGUAAAGCGUACCGAUAGGUGGUUUUACAAGUCAGAAGUGAAAUCUCUCAGCUUAACUGGGAGACUGUCUUUUGAAACUGUAAAACUAGAAGGGCACAGAGGAAGCUGGAACAAACGGUGUAGUAGUGAAAUGCGUUGAUAUCGUUUGGAACACCAAUAGCGUAGGCAGGCUUCUGGGUGCCACUUGACACUGCUAGGACGAAAGCGUGGGUAGCGAAUGGG
rnacentral:rRNA from 1 species